AAGCGAAGAAAAACUUGUCCAUAUUUAGGACCUUUUUUGACUAUUGGUCGCCCAUCAAUAUCACCACUAUCACAGCUGCUUUAAGCAAAAUUUAUGGCCGACGAUGAAAAACAACUAUUUACCCUCUGCAGCAAAAUCAAAACAAAGAACAUCUGUUCAAAGCCCGAGCUAUGGAGUUAACCCAAUUUGGACAAUAGAAACAAAUGAUUGGAAAAUAGAGCACAUAAAUGAGUUUCAAAAUAUAUACAAUGUUAAAAAAAUCGUGCAACUUUUUGGGACUAUAUUGACGGAAUUUGGAUCAACAAUCAACAAAAGCCAGCUCUAAAUCAAAACCAAAACAAAAAACAGAUGAUGUCAAACUUGAAUAUAAGUUUAAUUCAGUGUUUUUUCUGUAAUCGAGCUCUCAAAAAAAUGAUUUUUGAAUAUGCUAUUCGUACCUAAAAGGGCACGGUGAACUUUAGGCAUUUCCGGCAUCUCAUUAAUUGCAGAAAAGUGAAGAAAAACUUAUGAGAGUGGAAACAGCGUUAGAUAGAAUUAAAAUAAGAGGAAACUGGAAGCAUUAUAAUAUCUUGAUUUAUAUAAAAGUCGAAAAUGCCUCCCUGCUUAUCAGGCCAAACUUUCUUUUACUGUCUUCCAAUAUAGUUCAUCCGAUUCCCACAGAGCACUUCCACCAUCCGAUAACAGCUGAUCUGCACAGCUGUGGCUAAUCAUUGUUGCGUUUUACAAAACAUUUAAAAGAAGGACCACAGCGCUAUAAAUUAUACCUGGUAACAGACUGCAAGGGAACUAACAACCAAUCGGCCUGCUGAAAUAAUAGGAAUAGCUAUUGCCCCAUAUUGUCUAAAGAGUAACAAAUCUGGAUGGCAGACAGGAUCUCGGUCUGCGCUUGCUGCUUCUCCAGCCUUGCUCAAGCGCUAUCGCCACAAGCUCGGCCUUGUGGUCCACCUAUUCCCUCUAGUACCUGCAAUAAAUAUAUUUUAGAAGUUAAUUGUAAAACACAAAUAUAAGUCUGGGGACAUACUCUCGUUUUCCAAUGUGUUCUGCUCCAUGUUGUGAGUACGUUAUGCGCCUAGGAAAGUGUGGAGCAACUAUUAAUGCUGCCUCACGGACAGAAUCCCACGGCUUGGCCCCAAUUGUUUUUAUCUGCUUGCAAAAAAUAAUAUCGUGAAAUGGGUUGCCAAUAUAUUGUUCCAUGUAUAUAAAUUACCUGUGCUUACACACUUAAACGACAAAACACAAUGGACAAUCCGUUCAACGGAUGGUAGAUGGUAUAUGGAUAUCUGUGGGAAGACGCCAUCAAGUCUAGUUAUUUCGACUUUUGCUUACUUAACUUGAUAACACCAUAACCCGACGUAGAUUGGAUAUAGCCUUCCAUGCGUGUGAAAAUAAGCCCGAAAAUUGUAUAUUUUAUGACAAAUUAUGAAGUAACAAAUUAUAUUUUGUAAAUAUCAGAAUAACGAUACAGGACUAUUUGAUAAGCGUGACUACGAUAGCGUGCAGGGACCAUAAAUAUUUUAAAAAUAAAAAUGAUAUCGAGCUUUCCUAAAUGUUCGAUUUCUACUAUGUAUAACGACACUGUAUCUUGCCAAUAAGACGAAAGUCUGUACCUAUAUGUAUAUGGCCACAUUUUUUAAGAUUUAUAGAUGUGAAUUUAAUUAAUAGCCAUAAUAGAAAACUUGGUGCUCCUAUGAUUAUAUUUCUCGAUAGACCCUAUUUGUUAACGAAUAUAAUAAACGUUAAACUCAGGUAGUAUAUAAGUCAGAACGAGCCGGAUCGGGCGACUAUAUCAUAUAGCUGCCAAAGGAACAAUCAGAAAAAAAAUUUUAAAAAAUGAUUACUUUUUGUUUUGUUCUGUGCUGCUUGCACAAUGGACAAUCCGUUCAACGGAUGGUAUAUGGAUAUCUGUGGGAAGACGCCAUCAAGUCUAGUUAUUUCGACUUUUGCUUACUUAACUUGAUAACACCAUAACCCGACGUAGAUUGGAUAUAGCCUUCCAUGCGUGUGAAAAUAAGCCCGAAAAUUGUAUCCAAAAAUGUUGUUAAAGAUAUUUUAUGACAAAUUAUGAAGUAACAAAUUAUAUUUUGUAAAUAUCAGAAUAA